AGCGAACGCUGGCGGCAGGCUUAACACAUGCAAGUCGAGCGGGCGUAGCAAUACGUCAGCGGCAGACGGGUGAGUAACGCGUGGGAACGUACCUUUUGGUUCGGAACAACACAGGGAAACUUGUGCUAAUACCGGAUAAGCCCUUACGGGGAAAGAUUUAUCGCCGAAAGAUCGGCCCGCGUCUGAUUAGCUAGUUGGUGAGGUAACGGCUCACCAAGGCGACGAUCAGUAGCUGGUCUGAGAGGAUGAUCAGCCACAUUGGGACUGAGACACGGCCCAAACUCCUACGGGAGGCAGCAGUGGGGAAUAUUGGACAAUGGGCGCAAGCCUAAUCCAGCCAUGCCGCGUGAGUGAUGAAGGCCCUAGGGUUGUAAAGCUCUUUUGUGCGGGAAGAUAAUGACGGUACCGCAAGAAUAAGCCCCCGGCUAACUUCGUGCCAGCAGCCGCGGUAAU
rnacentral:rRNA from 1 species